rnacentral:rRNA from 1 species
AGCAGCCGCGGUAAUUCCAGCUCCAAUAGCGUAUAUUAAAGUUGUUGCAGUUAAAAAGCUCGUAGUUGAAUUUCGAGACCGGUUUAUUGGUCGUGCUUUUGUACGUACUGGUAUUAUUGGUUUCUCCUUUCUGACGAAUCUUAAUGCCAUUAAUUUGGUGUUUUGGGGAAUCAGGACUGUUACUUUGAAAAAAUUAGAGUGUUUAAAGCAGGCUCACGCUUGAAUACAUUAGCAUGGAAUAACGGAAUAGGACGUUUGAUUCUAUUUUGUUGGUUUCUAGGAUCGACGUAAUGAUUAAUAGGGAUAGUUGGGGGCAUUAGUAUUCAAUUGUCAGAGGUGAAAUUCUUGGAUUUAUUGAAGACUAACUACUGCGAAAGCAUUUGCCAAGGAUGUUUUCAUUAAUCAAGAACGAAAGUUAGGGGAUCGAAGACGAUCAGAUACCGUCGUAGUCUUAACCAUAAACUAUGCCGACUAGGGAUCGGAUGACGUUAAUUUUUUAAUGACUCAUUCGGCGCCUUACG